GGCGCCGCCGAAGCCAAGAGCGGCGCCUUCCGCAGAGGGACUGCGGCUUCCUGCGCAGCGCCCCCUACCGGACAGGCGGCGGGAAAACGCCGCGCAACUCAGACCACUGGAGCGGAGUAGUAUCUGGAGUUUCUGUAACAUCCUUUCCCUUUUUUUUUUUUUUUAAAGCCAGAGCCUCUGUCGCCCAGGCUGCAGUACAGUGGCGUAAUCUCAGCUCACUGCAACCUCUGCCUCCCGGGAUCAAGCGAUUCUCCUUCCUCAGCCUCCCGAGUAGCUGGGAUUACAGGUUCAAGAGAUUCUUCUGCCUCAGCCUCCCAAGUAGCUGGCACUGCAGACACGCACCACCACACCCAGGCUACACAGAACAACAUCAUUAGCAACAUUGUUUCAGCAAGGAAAUAAUCCUUAUUGGCAAAGGGAAACCAAGGAAAGAAAACUAUUGUUUUCUUCGGCUACAUGCUGUCUGCAAAGCACCCCAUGGAUUCAAUUUCUCAUCAAUUCAGAAUGGAAUACUAACGUGCUGCCUAGAGAUACAGAAGUGGGAUGAACGCAGGGCCUUACUCAGCAUUCAGAACAAAACUGAUGGUGCUAGCAUAUAUAAGACUGAAACACCAAAGUCCUCCGUGGAAGUUAAUGAAUUUCUGUGAGUGCACUUUACGUUACAUAGGAAGUUGUUUGGUAGCAAGUAGCACAUAUUUGGGUGAUAAGGGGUUAAUAUGCUUCCAUCUACAUAAAAGUUCAAAGUUUGAUUAUUAUGCAUUGCAUAUCAGGGUGGAUGACUAGUUUUGAUUUUGUCAGGAUAAAUGUGUUCUCCCUGCUCCAACCAUUAUGCCAAGGAUGGCCUUAUUCUAGAACCUCCUAAUUCUGUUUUGAACAUUCCUAGUCAUCAUUCCUAAAAAUGAAAUAUUAUAUACUAGUACAUGAGCUCAUGAGAGCUUUCAUAGCUGUAAUUAAAGAUGCAUAAAAGGCAUGUAACACUUUCAACUCAAGUCACAUGCUGGUCUGUUUUAUCAACUAUUCGCAAAGAUUCUCCUGAUUGGUGAUUAAAAGUGGAUUAACAAUUU
ensembl:lncRNA novel transcript